CCUAGUUGAUCCUGCCAGUAGUCAUAUGCUUGUCUUAAAGAUUAAGCCAUGCAUGUGUAAGUAUAAACUAAUUCAAACUGUGAAACUGUGAAUGGCUUAUUAAAUCAGUUAUAGUUUGUUUGAUGGUAUCUAUUACUCGGAUAACCAUAGUAAUUCUAGAGCUAAAAUGUGAUACAAACCCUAACAUUUUGAGGGGAUAUAUUUAUUUGAUAAAAGGUCAAUGUAAGUUUUGCCCACUGCUCUGAUGAUUAAUGAUAACUAGACAGAUCGUACAGCCAUUGUGUCGGUGAAUCAUUAUUCAAAUUUCUGCCCUUUGAACUUUCAAUGGUAGGAUAGUGGCCUACUAUAAUGGUGACGUGUGAAGGAGACUUAGAGUUCAAUUUUGAAGAGGGAGCCUGAGAAAUGGCUACCACAUCCUAGAAAGGUAGCAGGGGCACAAAUUACCCAAUCCUGACAUGGGAGGUAGUGACAAUAAAUAAUAAUAUUGGGCUUUAUGAGUCUAGUAAUUGGAAUGAGUACAAUCUAAAUCCCUUAAUAAAGAUCCAUUGGAGGAUAAGUCUCGUGCUAGCAGCCACAGUAAUUCUAACUCCAAUAGCGUAUAUCUAAGUUGAUAUAGUUAAAAAGCUCAUAAUUGGAACAAAGGUCGUGUUGUCUGGUCCACCUCAUAAUAAGCAUCGAUCUACUCAUUCCUACUAUCGGUGAUAUGCUCCUAACCUUAAUUGGUUGAGUCGUUCCUUUGACAUUAUUACUUUGAAGAAAUUAAAGUGCUUAAAGCAAGCCUAUGCUUGUAUACACUAGCAUGGGAUAACACCAUAGGAUUUUGAUCAUAUUAUGUUAGGCUUCGAGAUUGGAGUAAUGAUUAAUAGGGACUGUAAGGGGCAUUCAUAUUUCAUAGUCAGAGGUGAAAUUCUUGGAAUUAUGAAAAAUGAAAAAUUGUGAAAGCAUUUGCCAAGGAUGUUUUCAUUAAUCAAGAAUGAAAGUUGGGGGCUCAAAGACAAUCAAAUACCACCAUAAACGAUGUCGAUGAGGGAUCAGUAGAUGUUACUUUCAAGACUCCGCUGGCACCUUAUGAGAAAUCAAAGUCUUUGGGUUCGAAGGAGAGUAUGGUCACAAGGUUGAAACUUAAAGGAAUUGACAGAAGGGCACCACCAGGAAUGGAACUUGCAACUUAAUUUGACUUAACAUAGAAAACUUACUAGGUCUAGACAUAAAAGAAUUAACAAAUUAAGAGCUCUUUCUUGACUCUAUCGGUGGUGGUACAUGGCCAUUUUUAGUUGGUGGAAUGAUUUGUUUGAUUAAUUCCAUUAAUGAACAAGACCUUAACAUGCUAACUAGCUAUAAGAGAUGAUCCUUUGUGGCUAGCUUGUUAGAAGGACUAUGGCCAUUCAGGCUAAGUAAGUUUAAGGUAAUAACAGGUUGUGAUGCCCAUAGAUGUUCUAGGCCACACAUAUGUUACAAUGAUGUAUUCAAUGAGUCUAUAACCUUGGCCAAUAAGCUCAAGUAAUCUUUGAAAUUUCAUUAUGAUAGGGAUAGAUCAUUGCAAUUGUUGGUCCUCAAUGAGGAAUUCCUAGUAAGCACAAGUCAUUAGCUCACGUUGACUACCUCUUUGCCUUUUACACAAUCCACUUAUUGCUCCUAUUAUUGAAUAGUCUGAUGAAGUGUUUGGAUCAUGGCAAUGUUGAUGGUUUGUAGCCCAUAACAUCGUAAGAAGUUUAUUAAACCUUAUCAUUUAGAGGAAAAAGAAGUCGUAACAAAGUUUUCAUAGGUGAACUUGUGGAAG
rnacentral:rRNA from 1 species